rnacentral:rRNA from 1 species
CCUGGUUGAUCCUGCCAGUAGUCAUAUGCUUGUCUCAAAGAUUAAGCCAUGCAUGUGUAAGUACAGGCCGACUUAAGGCGAAACCGCGGACGGCUCAUUAAAUCAGAUAUAACUCAUUGGAUCUCUGCUGAACCGCAUUACUUGGAUAACUGUGGUAAUUCUAGAGCUAAUACAUGCCUUUGUAGUCUCCGACCGCGAGGGAGGAGCGCUUUUAUUAGACCAAAACCCUCGGCAGCCGGUUCCCGCAAGGGGCCGGCCGCACACAUCUUGGUGAAUCAGAAUAACUUUUGCCGAGCGCACGACCCCUCCCGUAACCCGGGUUGGGUCGGCGCCGCGUCCUGCAGGCGUCUGCCUUAUCAGCUCUCGAUUGUAGGUUAAACGCCUACAAUGGCUAUCACGGGUAACGGGGAAUCAGGGUUCGAUUCCGGAGAGGGAGCCUGAGAAACGGCUACCACAUCUAAGGAAGGCAGCAGGCGCGCAAAUUACCCACUCCCGGCACGGGGAGGUAGUGACGAAAAAUACUGUUGCGAGCCCCGAACGGGGCCUCGCAAUUGGAAUGAGUACACUUUAAAUCCUUGUACGAGGAUCGAGUGGAGGGCAAGUCUGGUGCCAGCCGCCGCGGUAAUUCCAGCUCCACUAGCGUAUAUUAAAGUUGUUGCGGUUGAAACGCUCGUAGUUUGACUUCUGCUCCGGACCGGCGGUCCGCCUUAGCGGCGGCUACUGCCGGGUUCCGAGCUGUGUCCCCGCCGGCGCACAUGGGGUUUUUAUGCCCUUAACCGGGUGUCCCCUUGUGGCCGGCACGUUUACUUUGAAAAAAUUAGAGUGCUCAGAGCAGGCUGGUUUUUGCUUACAGCCCGAAUGGUCGUGCAUGGAAUGAUGGAACAGGACCUCGGUUCUAUUUUGUCGGUUUUUCGGAACCCGAGGUAAUGAUUAAUAGAAGCAGACGGGGGCAUUCGUACUGCGACGCUAGAGGUGAAAUUCUUAGACCGUCGCAUGACGACCUACUGCGAAAGCAUCUGCCAAGGAUGUUUUCAUUGAUCAAGAACGAAAGUUAGAGGUUCGAAGGCGAUCAGAUACCGCCCUAGUUCUAACCUUAAACGAUGCUGACUAGCGAUCCGCCGCAGUUAUUCCCAUGACCCGGCGGGUAGCUUCCGGGAAACCAAAGUCUUUGAGUUCCGGGGGAAGUAUGGUUGCAAAGCUGAAACUUAAAGGAAUUGACGGAAGGGCACCACCAGGAGUGGAGCCUGCGGCUCAAUUUGACUCACACAGCACGGGGAACAGAAUGAAGCUCUUUCUCGAUCGGGGUGGUGGUGCAGGCCGUUCAGUGGGAGUGAUCUGUCUGUUAAUUCCGACGAACGAGACUUAGGCUAAAUAGUCGACGGAAUGCAACCGGCUCGUUUCGUCGCGCGAUUCGGGUCGUCGUGCGGGCUCCCCGUCGUCGGUUAGCGCCGCCGGCGGCGGCGCGGCGCCGGAAACUGGCGUCCGCUUCGCAGUCUUCUUCUUAGAGGGAUAAGCGGCAGCAAAAAAUAUACUAGCCGCACGAGAGUUUGAGCCAUAACAGGUCUGUGAUGCCCUUAGAUGUUCUGGGCCGCACGCGCGCUACAAUGGAGAGUUCAGCGAGCUGGCCCUGCUCCGAGAGGAGCGGGUAACCUCGUGAAAGCUGUCCUUAAAGGGGAUUGGGGCUUGCAAAUGUUCCCCAUGAACGAGGAAUUCCCAGUAGGCGCAAUUCACCAGAUUGCGCCGAUUUAGUCCCUGCCCUUUGUACACACCGCCCGUCGCUACUACCGAUUGAAUGGUCUAGUGAGGGCACCGGACUGGCGCCCUUGGAGCCGCUACCGCCUCGGCGGGCAGCGCCCUCGGGUCGACGGAAAGGUGUCCAAGCUGGGUCAUUUAGAGGAAGUAAAAGUCGUAAACAAGGUUUCCGUAGGUGAACCUGCGGAAG